AGUCCUGGGGUCCAGGAUGUUAUUGUGUAACAUAUAUGUCUGCUUUCCUUCGCUUUCUGUAGGGUCAGUACCGGCCCUCUGACCUGCUGUGUCCGGAGACGUAUGUCUGGGUCCCCAUCGAGCGCUGCCUGCCCAAACUCGACCUGACCAGAUACAGCCGCUUCAAUGAGGCUCCCGAAGCAGUGGAUGUGGGCCGCAUGAAGGAUGUGGGUAAGGUGCUCGUGCUUCACAAGAGGACAGUCAUGCCUUACCUGCUGUAUGCUCGCAAGAGGACAGGCCCCAGUGACGAGGAGACAGUGCUGCAGUACGCAGGCCUGGUCGGACAGCAGUGUGCUGAGAGGAUGCUGCUGUACCGGGCCUAGAGAACCAGUCCAAAGAAGAGGAAGAGGGACUGUGCAAUCUACAGUGUGUGCAGCAGCAGCAGCAGCAGCUCAGCACCAGACCUCAAUACUCUCAUUAGAAUGAAAACAACAGUUAUGACCUGGCAUAAAAUUGUAAUGCAUACUAUGAUGUAUUUUCACAUAGACCAAGAAAACAGUAUAGGUGAUAGAAGGUUUUUUAACCAUUAGCUGUUAUUUAACCAUUUAUAUCCAUUAUACAACGCUCUUAAUAUUUGUAGUUUUUAUUUAAGUGGAAUUUGUGAUGGGGAUUCAAUUGUCUAAAGGGUGAAACUGGGAAUCCUGUUUUCUGUUUGAAGAUUGUGUAUAUAACUCCAGUAGGUAUCUCGAUGAUAAAAAGGGUUUCAGUAUGUGUUCCAGAUCAAUGUUUUUAAUGGUUACCCAAUAGGUCUUGCGUGACAUCACCACUGAAGCGAAGGUCUUGACAGGUUGGACCUCUGCGUCUUGUCCAUUUUGUAUUGAAACUAACCAGAAAGCUUUAAAUACACAACAAAACCACAAAUGACUAUUUAACAGCUUGUGUUCAAAUAUACAGAUAGCUUUUUAGUUAUGUUGAAAUUACCUGUAGUAGAUUUGCUAAAUAAAAAAAUAAAAAAUCUCUGUAUCUAUCUC